ACUGAUGCCCUGAGUUCCUGCAAGGGACCCUUCUCCUUUCUCCUUCCUUGUGUCAAUUCAAACUCAACGCUCUGUUCAUGGAAAUGAAAGCUUGGUAGUGAUCUUCGUCACCUGUUUUUGAGGUAGCGAUCUUCUCGAGUCUCCACCCAAGCAGAAACCUCAAAGUAGUAGAAAGUAAUUGGCUUUCUCUCUCCUAUUUAGAGGUUAGGGUUUUCAUCUCUCUCUCUCUGCAUCAGCAACUGCAACUGCAACUAGGGUUUCAAUCUUCAAGAUUCAUAUAUUAGCCAUGACAAGGAAAAGAAAAUCAACAGCUAAGGCCAUCGAAAUAGGAAACAAAGGAAAACAAAUUCAACAAAUUCAAGUAAUGGGUCCUUUUAUAUCAGAUCUUCCAAAGUCUGUCCUUCAAGAUGUUCUAAUAAAACUGCCGAUAAGGAGCAUUAUCAUGUGCAAAACUGUCUGCAAGGCUUGGUAUUCUCUGAUUUCAGACCAUGAAUUUGCUAAGCUGCACCUUGCACAAGCUGAGGCCUGUCCUUUGGUCCGACCCUCUGCCCCAACACGCGUGUCAAGGACCGUUUACUUGCUUGAGCUGGAAGAAAAGUCUGAUUUUGACUUGAAGGACUAUGUCGGUGAUGCUGGCACAUCGGACUGUAUCCACUUUCACCUCCGAAUGAAUUUUGCCAAAUUCAAGAUCCCUUUGCGGAAUGCUGACCAAGCCAUCCAUGCAAUGCGUAAUAGGAAAGGUAGAACUAAAAGGAAACCUGGCAUUAAGUUGGAGCCAUUGGAUCACAAAUACAUGUAUGUGAAUUCGUGUAAUGGCUUGCUUUUCUUGGCUGAAACAUUCUACAACGACCCUCUUGUUGUGUGCAAUCCAAUAACAGGUGAAUUUAUACAACUUCCUGAAGCUUCCAAGGAUGAGAGUCGAGAGAGAUUAUCUAUACGCUGUGCAUUAGGUUACAGUCUGAAGACUAACCAAUAUAAGGUGUUGAGAGUCUUUAGUCAAGGAACACCCAAUCUAGUUCGGAUGGUUGAGUUGUACACACUUGGGCAGAGUUCAUGGAAAUCUCUUGGUACUGCUCCCACGUCAGCAGCAUAUAUGCUAUUGACAUUGCCUACUUAUCUGAAUGGAGAGCUUUAUUGGUUUUACUAUGAGAGUUCAUAUGAGAUAGCGUCUUUUGACUUUGACAAUGAGCAAUUUCACUCAGUUCCAACACCUCCUUUUGAACUGGAGGAAUGUCAGCAUGUGAGCUUGGGACUUUUGGGAGGUUCUCUUUGUGUAUGCUAUGCUCAUGAGAAUUGUAUCAAUGUGUGGGUAAUGGAAGAUUAUGGUACACAAAAAUCUUGGACCAAUAGAUUUUCUAUUAAGACUGAUGAUGGUGUGUGGUGGCCAAAAGGUUUAUAUGAACCAAUGAGAUACUUAAAAAAUGGGGGUUUGUUGAUGUUUAACCAUUCUACUGUCACUUUGAUUUACUAUCACCCAAGAAACUACAGAUCGUUAAUUUAUCUUAAGCUUCGUGGGUUUAGUCCAUAUUUUGAAGCAAUUAGUCAUGUUCCAAGCUUCAUUUCUCUCAAGGACAUUUUGAUGGGCAAUGAUGUAGAAGUACUGAAUAUAAAUUCAAGGUGUGCAGAGUGCAAGCUUCCCGGCGAGACUAGAGGUCUUGAUUUGGUGAAUUUGGAUGCAGACGUGGCAUCAGAUGAUCGUUCUUUUAAGGAAUUUAGAAUGAAACAGGGAUUCUACCGGUGGCAAUAAUGCAGCCUUACGGUGGGCUAAAUAACUUCUCAUGGAGUGGCAACUUUCAACCUACAUCUGGAGGGUUUGAGUUUUUGAGUUUGAGUCAAAUAUCCUGAACCUUGCUUCCCCUCUAACCUAAAGUUACCAGCUAAUGCAUUGUUCUCUUGAGUACACUCCUAAUCAGAUUGGGAAAAUGGAGGAAUCAGUUUGGAUUCGAAAAGCAGCUGAACUGUUUGAGCUCAUUAGAUUGGUAAAGGCACUAAAGAAGGAGCUUUGCAGAAAGGUAGUGGUUGAAUUGCCACGGCCUUUGAAACUGAAGAUAACCAAUGAAAUAGUUGAGAGGUUGAAAAUCUUGAGGCCCAAAGCAAAUGUUACUGAUCAGAGAGAUGGUGCAAGGAAAAACUAAAAGAAGCUAAGCAGUUGGCUCUUGAGACAGAGGCGUCAAAUUCCAGAGUUAGUCAUGAGGAAGCAGAAGAUCAAAUUUUGCCUGGCGGGCUGCCUCCACCUGAAUGCCAUGCCGAAGUUCAUACAGAUUAUGACGAAUCUCAAAAUUAAGAUACAAGCCUUAGCUUUAGCUUUUCACCAGUUAGGGUUUGCUUGGAUCAAGCUAAACGUGCCAAGCCUAAUGAAAAGCGAUGUAAUAUAUGGGUAUACUGCCCGUUUGAAAGCGGUUGCCAUUCUCCAGAUAUUUAUGGGCAUAGACUUGGAUCGUGCUGGCUGAAAUUCGUAAGAAUUAAAACUCUUUACUACGAUUGACACAUUUUCAUUACUUUUUCCUUUAAUCUGAGUUUCGUCCAGAUGAGUCUCAAUUGUGUGGAAAAAUUCUUUGUAAGAGAGAGAGGGGUGGAGUCACUGAAGGUUAAGUCAUUUUUUGUAAUACGGAUUGUCAUCGUAUUGGUGCUGACCGUUCAAGGUGAAGAAGUCUUGGUCGGAGGCAAAGUGAGCUUUGUUGUUAGACGUUGAAACUUUCCCUGUGGAUUAUACUCUCUUUAUCUUUUCUCUAGGGGACCGGUACAGAUAUUCACUCUUGUUUCUCAAGUAUCUUGUGAUUUGUAUCUUGGAGAAGUAAGAUGAAGAUGCAUGUAAAAAAAUAAAUUAAAUUUCCAAAUACUAUAA